AUGUCCAGUAAAUACCUCUUGGCCCUAAGAAUGACUGGGAACACUCACGCAGUGGGACACCUUCCUGUGCGUUACCUCAUCUCAUCCUCACAGCGGCCCAGAGAGGUUUUCCUGGGAAAGGAGCCUUUGAUGGUGGAUGUCUUCAUGGCACAUGUGAGGACCAUCAUUACCAAAUCUCCCUUCAUCUGUUUGGAGUUCCCGGCAUCAGUCCAUGAUUCCUUAUUGGGCAGGGUAAGUGUGCGGAUUCGGCCUAGAGAUUUUUAAAAGACUGAAAAGAAAUGUGAAAAGAGAAGCAAGAUGCACAGAGGAUAGAGUAAGUAGAAGAAACACCUCUACUAUUAAUUUCAGCAGAAGACAAUGGAGAGAAUGGGGAAGAAGCAAUAUGCAAAGAGGUGACAGCUAAUAAUUUUCCAGAACUGUUGGGUCUGUGACUCCUCAGGCUGAAGACGCACAGUGGUUUCCGAACAGAGAAAAUAUAAAUCACUUUAUACCUAGCCACGUUGUAGUGAAACUUCUUGACACCAAAGACAAUGAGAAAAUCCUAAAAGAAACCACAGAAAAAAGAAAAAUUACCUACAAAGAAAUCAUAAGUAAACAGCCUUCUCAUUAACAACAAAAGAGAUCAGAAUAAUAUCUUCAAAGGACUGAGGUAAAAUAAUUAUUAUCCCCAAAUUCUAAACUAAAAUACAUGUUGUUCAAGAAUGAGUGCAAAAUAAUGACAUUUCAGACAAAAAAAAAAAAAAAAAAAAGCACUAAGAAACAUUUUCACAUACAUCCCCUCAUUGAAAACAUUGCUGAAGAGUAUUCCUCAAAAAGAAAAAAAAAAAAAACAAAAAAAAAACUCUGAUAGGAAUGGAAGGGAAGACACAACACUAAGGGGAAAAAGAGUAUGUUGGGUAAAUCUCAUAAUCCUUGUGUAUAAAACAACAACAAUGACAGCAUCUAAUUGGGAGGGUUUAAAAUGAGAAAAAAAUAAAGUGAUAGGUAACAGUCA
rnacentral:lncRNA from 1 species